CUGGUUUCUUUUUGAACUGCUAUCAUUUGCAUUUUGGCACACCUAUUAUUUGGAUAUUGUACUUGUAGAGUUGUACCUAUGUUUAGCAUGCCUGUAUAUUUAGUACUUGGCACUAGGCAUAUGAAGUAUAUAGUUUAAACUUCCAGCUUGGUGUUUUUCUGCCACUACUGCUUGUAUUAUCCCAGUCUCUGAUAGAAAAGAAGUUCUGAAGGGAAGUGUUGUACAAAUUUAACCUAAUGAACCUGCAGUUCUUGUUAUCUUCCCUUUAGCAUAGAGUUGUCAGCUUGGUCUGGUUGGUUGUGGGGUCUUUAUGGGUUAGGCCAUACACUUAUACCUGGUUUAGCUCAUGAUGAGCAGGUAUAUUUAUGCCUGUUGAAUCAGGUGUGUGUUGCUUCAUGUUCAAGUCUGUUGGUUUCCUGUUCAGCUCAAUUUUGAUUAGCUUUAAUUUUAUACUUUCUGCAUCUAGUCUUGCCAAACCAUACCCCUUUGUCUCAUCUACUUUGUUCGACAAUUGAUCGUUUUAUUAUACCAUUUCCACAAUGGAUCAAUGCUUGAUUGCCUAAAAUAAAAUGCCCAGGUACAUGCUUCAUUCAUCUGGGGAGGUUUGUUUCACUGUUUGUCUUUAUUGAAACUUGUAUAUUUUCAGCAAUAUUAGUAUUUUUUUUUCAUGAGAUUUCAUGAUGAUUGUUGGCAAGUUCAUCCUGUAGCUACUGAAUUAUCUAUAUACUUUAUUUUCUUCAUUUGGGGAUUUGCAGGUUUUAUGAAGGGGCUAUUGAACACUUUGAUCAUUCUACCGGAAAGCAUAAGGUUGUUUAUACUGACAGUGAUGUGGAGUUUCUCAAGCUCGAGAGGCAGAAGUGGAAACAGAUCCUAGAAGAUCCCGUGCCUGAUGAGAAGCUUUCAAGAGGUGGUGAAAGUCCUGAUGAAGCCACUGAAAUAAUUGAUGGCAAUAACUCGACUUGCAUAUGGAAUUUUCUGGUAGGUUUUCAAUGUUGCUGGUUGAUCUGAACAGCACUUCUGCUGCCCGAAUGUUGUUGUUGGCUUGCAUUCUACACAGCAACAGCAGUUCAUUAGCAGAUACAUCACACAGGUAAAUUUCAAAAAUCUUAUGGUUUCAAGCAAAAUGUAGAGAUACAGAGCCCAGUUGUUGAGGAGAAAGCAAGUAAUGGAGAUUGAAUCCCCCAGAAGCCAUAGAUACUGGACUCGAUCUGUUUAUUCGGAUAAGUGUGCAGUCUCCACGUUUUUCUAUUAGAACUCAAAAUCCAGUAAAGGCUGCAUACUAAUUUGAGAUAAUUCGUAUUGCUACUUCAGAUGUACUGUGUCCAUUGUAUAGUUUUCAAUUUACAAAAAUAAAAUUAAAUAAAA